rnacentral:rRNA from 1 species
GUUUGAUCCUGGCUCAGAUUGAACGCUGGCGGCAUGCCUUACACAUGCAAGUCGAACGGUAACGCGGGGGCAACCCUGGCGACGAGUGGCGAACGGGUGAGUAAUACAUCGGAACAUAUCCAGUAGCGGGGGAUAACCUAUCGAAAGAUGGACUAAUACCGCAUACGAUCUACGGAUGAAAGCAGGGGACCGCAAGGCCUUGCACUAUUGGAGUGGCCGAUGUCGGAUUAGCUAGUUGGUGGGGUAAAAGCUUACCAAGGCGACGAUCCGUAGCUGGUCUGAGAGGACGAUCAGCCACACUGGAACUGAGACACGGUCCAGACUCCUACGGGAGGCAGCAGUGGGGAAUUUUGGACAAUGGGCGCAAGCCUGAUCCAGCCAUGCCGCGUGAGUGAAGAAGGCCUUCGGGUUGUAAAGCUCUUUCGGUGAAGACGAAACGGUUCAUGCUAUAACGUGAACUAAUGACGGUACUCACAGAAGAAGCACCGGCUAACUACGUGCAGCAGCCGCGGUAAUACGUAGGGUGCAGGCGUUAAUCGGAAUUACUGGGCGUAAAGCGUGCGCAGGCGGUUUGCUAAGACAGGUGUGAAAUCCCCGGGCUUAACCUGGGAAUUGCGCUUGUAACUGGCAAGCUAGAGUGUGGCAGAGGGGGGUGGAAUUCCACGUGUAGCAGUGAAAUGCGUAGAUAUGUGGAGGAACACCGAUGGCGAAGGCAGCCCCCUGGGUUAACACUGACGCUCAUGCACGAAAGCGUGGGGAGCAAACAGGAUUAGAUACCCUGGUAGUCCACGCCCUAAACUAUGUCAACUAGUUGUCGGGGAAGAAAUUCCUUGGUAACGAAGCUAACGCGUGAAGUUGACCGCCUGGGGAGUACGGCCGCAAGGUUAAAACUCAAAGGAAUUGACGGGACCCGCACAAGCGGUGGAUUAUGUGGAUUAAUUCGAUGCAACGCGAAAAACCUUACCUACCCUUGACAUGCUAGGAAGCCCGCAGAGAUGUGGGUGUGCCCGAAAGGGAACCUAGACACAGGUGCUGCAUGGCUGUCGUCAGCUCGUGUCGUGAGAUGUUGGGUUAAGUCCCGCAACGAGCGCAACCCUUGCCAUUAGUUGCUACAUUCAGUUGGGCACUCUAAUGGGACCGCCGGUGACAAACCGGAGGAGGGUGGGGAUGACGUCAAGUCCUCAUGGCCCUUAUGGGUAGGGCUUCACACGUAAUACAAUGGUCGGUACAGAGGGCUGCCAACCCGCAAGGGGGAGCUAAUCCCAGAAAGCCGAUCGUAGUCCGGAUUGUAGUCUGCAACUCGACUGCAUGAAGCCGGAAUCGCUAGUAAUCGCGGAUCAGCAUGUCGCGGUGAAUACGUUCCCGGGUCUUGUACACACCGCCCGUCACACCAUGGGAGUGGGUUCCACCAGAAGUAGUUAGCCUAACCGCAAGGAGGGCGAUUACCACGGUGAGAUUCAUGACUGGGGUGAAGUCGUAACAAGGUA